rnacentral:rRNA from 1 species
GAAGACGGCCAUAGUAAUCUGGAAACGCCCGAUCCCUUUCCGAACUCGGAAGCUAAGCAGAUUAUGUCAGUUGCGUUAGUCUCCCAACAGAGGCGAAACACUGAUGCUGUCUUCU